UCCACUUGGGCAUAAUUUUGACUUUUUCAAACUUUUUUAAGAGCGACUGUAAGGAGAUUGCUUUACAUGCGAUCAUGUUUUCGUAAUGUUGCAAUGUAUAAGCGGUGAUACUUUUUUUUUUUUUAUUCUAUUGAAAAACACUGAAACAUAUCUAUAUAUAUAUUUUCGCUCCAAUUUUAUUUUAUUUAUAGCGUUAGAUGCGCCUUAAUAUCAAACAGACCCUAAAUCAUUAAAACAUCCAUGUUUAGAUAACACAUUCUUAAACUACAUCUU
rnacentral:lncRNA from 1 species